UAUGAAGGCCAGGCUGAAGACUUUGCCGGAUUAGCUGAGAGGUGGUGCAUGGCCGUCGUCAGUUCGUACUGUGAAGCAUCCUGUUAAGUCAGGCAACGAGCGAGACCCACGCCCACAGUUGCCAGCGUACUCUCUGGAGUGACGGAUACACUGUGGGGACCGCCGCUGCUAAAGCGGAGGAAGGAAUGGGCAACGGUAGGUCAGUAUGCCCCGAAUAUCCCGGGCUACACGCGAGCUACAAUGGUUGGUACAAUGGGUAUCUACCCCGAAAGGGGACGGGAAUCUCCUAAAACCAAUCUUAGUUCGGAUUGAGGGCUGCAACUCGCCCUCAUGAAGCUGGAAUCCGUAGUAAUCGCGUUUCAACAGAACGCGGUGAAUACGUCCCUGCUCCUU
rnacentral:rRNA from 1 species